rnacentral:rRNA from 1 species
AUUGAACGCUGGCGGCAGGCCUAACACAUGCAAGUCGAGCGAGCGGCGGACGGGUGAGUAAUGUCUGGGAAACUUCCUGCUGGAGGGGGAUAACUACUGGAAACGGUAGCUAAUACCGCAUACCAUCUGAUGUGCCCAGAUGGGAUAAGCUAGUAGGUGGGGUAACGGCUCACCUAGGCGACGAUCCCUAGCUGGUCUGCGAGGAUGACCAGCCAAACUGGAACGGGGAAAGGGUCCGGACUCCUACGGGAGUCAGCAGUGGGGAAUAUUGCACAAGGGGCGAAAGCCUGAUGCAGCCAUGCCGCGGGGGUGAGGAAGGCCUUCGGGUUGUAAGGCACUUUCAGCGGGGAGGCGUUACCCGCAGAAGAAGCACCGGCUAACUCCGUGCCAGCAGCCGCGGUAAUUC